rnacentral:rRNA from 1 species
GACGAACCGUGCAAACGUUGUUCGGAAUCACUGGGCUUAAAGGGCGCGUAGGCGGCUUGUCAAGUCAGGGGUGAAAUCUUUCGGCUUAACCGGAAAAGUGCCUCUGAUACUGACAGGCUCGAGGGAGGUAGGGGCAUGUGGAACUUCCGGUGGAGCGGUGAAAUGCGUUGAUAUCGGAAGGAACGCCGGUGGCGAAAGCGACGUGCUGGACCUCUUCUGACGCUGGAGGCGCGAAAGCUAGGGGAGCGAACGGG